rnacentral:rRNA from 1 species
UGCCAGACUCCUACGGGAGGCAGCAGUGGGGAAUAUUGCACAAUGGGGGAAACCCUGAUGCAGCAACGCCGCGUGAAGGAAGACGGUUUUCGGAUUGUAAACUUCUAUCAAUAGGGAAGAAAGAAAUGACGGUACCUAAAUAAGAAGCCCCGGCUAACUACGUGCCAGCAGCCGCGGUAAUACGUAGGGGGCAAGCGUUAUCCGGAUUUACUGGGCGUAAAGGGAGCGCAGGCGGCGCGCCAAGUCUGAUGUGAAACCCCGGGGCUCAACCCCGGGCAUGCAUUGGAAACUGGCGGGCUGGAGUGCCGGAGGGGCAGGCGGAAUUCCUGGUGUAGCGGUGAAAUGCGUAGAUAUCAGGAGGAACACCGGUGGCGAAGGCGGCCUGCUGGACUGCGACUGACGUUGAGGCCCGAAAGCGUGGGGAGCAAACAGGAUUAGAUACCCCGGUAA